rnacentral:rRNA from 1 species
ACGGAGGAUCCGAGCGUUAUCCGGAUUUAUUGGGUUUAAAGGGUGCUCAGGCGGGGGAUUAAGUCGGCGGUGAAAUUUUGCAGCUCAACUGUAAAAGUGCCUUCGAAACUGGUUUCCUUGAGUGCGGAUGAGGUAGGCGGAAUUUGUGGUGUAGCGGUGAAAUGCAUAGAUAUCACGAGGAACUCCGAUUGCGCAGGCAGCUUACCAAGCCGUAACUGACGCUCAAGCACGAAGGCGUGGGGAUCAAACAGG